rnacentral:rRNA from 1 species
CAGUAGCCACGGUAACACGGAGGGGGCUAGCGUUGUUCGGAAUUACUGGGCGUAAAGCGCACGUAGGCGGCUUGGUAAGUUAGAGGUGAAAGCCUGGAGCUCAACUCCAGAAUUGCCUUUAAGACUGCCGAGCUAGCAGGUGAGAGAGGUAAGUGGAAUUCCGAGUGUAGAGGUGAAAUUCGUAGAUAUUCGGAAGAACACCAGUGGCGAAGGCGGCUUACUGGCUCAUACUGGACGCUGAGGUGCGAAAGCGUGGGGAGCAAACAGGAUUAGAUACCCGCGUAGUCCCUGUCUCUUAUAC